rnacentral:rRNA from 1 species
ACGGCCAGACCAUGCUGAAUAUACCGGUUCUCGUUAGAUCACCGAAGUCAAGCAUCAUUGGGCGCGGUCAGUAAUUGGGUGGGCGACCACCUGGGAACACCACGUGCCGUU